GUGGGGAAUUUUGGACAAUGGGCGCAAGCCUGAUCCAGCAAUGCCGCGUGCAGGAUGAAGGCCUUCGGGUUGUAAACUGCUUUUGUACGGAACGAAACGGUUCUUUCUAAUACAGAGAGCUAAUGACGGUACCGUAAGAAUAAGCACCGGCUAACUACGUGCCAGCAGCCGCGGUAAUACGUAGGGUGCGAGCGUUAAUCGGAAUUACUGGGCGUAAAGCGUGCGCAGGCGGUGAUGCAAGACAGAUGUGAAAUCCCCGGGCUUAACCUGGGAACUGCAUUUGUGACUGCAUCGCUGGAGUGCGGCAGAGGGGGAUGGAAUUCCGCGUGUAGCAGUGAAAUGCGUAGAUAUGCGGAGGAACACCGAUGGCGAAGGCAAUCCCCUGGGCCUGCACUGACGCUCAUGCACGAAAGCGUGGGGAGCAAACAGG
rnacentral:rRNA from 1 species